rnacentral:lncRNA from 1 species
UGAUUUCGUUUGGGAUCAAUAGGAAAGCAUAUGCAGCCAACCAAGAUGCAAAUGUUUUGAAAUGAUAUGACUAAAAUUUUAAGUAGGAAAGUCACCCAAACACUUCUGCUUUCACUUAAGUGUCUGGCCCGCAAUACUGUAGGAACAAGCUUUUUCCAAAUGAUCCUAGUAAUUGCCUAGAAAUAUCUUUCUCUUACCUGUUAUUUAUCAAUUUUUCCCAAUAUUUUUAUACGGAAAAAAUUGUAUUGAGAACACUUAGUAUGCAGUUGAUAAGAGGAAUUUGGUAUAAUUAUGGUGGGUGAUUAUUUUUUAUACUGUAUGUGCCAAAGCUUUACUACUGUGGAAAGACAGCUGUUUUAAUAAAAGAUUUAC